rnacentral:antisense_RNA from 1 species
CUAUAUGGCGGGCGGUGCGUGGGGGUCUCCGGACCCGCCGGUUUAGCUAUGCCCGGUUUGCAACCCGCACCGUCCGCCACCCCG